CCCGCAUUGGCGCCCGGCGGUUUCGGCACAGGAAAUGGUUACGAGAGAAAGAGAGAGGGGGGAAAAGAGAGAAAGCUGUGAAAAAAAAACAAAACAAGAGAAGAUGGUCCUCUGAAGUGCGGUGUGGGUCCCACAGAUGGCUCCACCUCCAGGAACGUCACGCGGAGGCUGCUCUUGGAGCGUCGUGCCACGGACCACCGGAAACUGGCCCAAGAAUGGAGGACGUGGAUGAAUCAGAUGAAAAAGAAUAGGCAGUGCAGACAAUGAUGGAGCUGUGGAGCCUUGAAGGGUGACAGUCACGUCCUGGCAGUAAAAGGUGCUGCCGUGAAAACGGUCUGAGGUUCAAGUAUGCUGCUGAUCAGCAGUAACAGAUGACACCUCCUGGCGGAAGACUGGACACAGUGAGGGUCACAGUAACACAAACAGUGCGGUAAAGAUCUGCGUCUCCGUCUGAGUGCCUCUAGAGGAGGCCUGCUGGUCAGGCCACGGCACUGCAAACGCUACAGAUCAAUUCCUGAAAUAAGAAUGUGAAAUCCAAGAUGUCGGAAUGGCGGUGACAUCGUACUAACGGAUCAAACAAGUUCAAAGAUCGUCAGACUUACACUUUCAGCCCUGGGGAAUCCUCUGUGUAGAAGCGCCACAUGCCCCCUGUGCCUGCCGACGUGGUGGACCGUCC